rnacentral:rRNA from 1 species
AGUGAACGCUGGCGGUAGGCCUAACACAUGCAAGUCGAACGGCAGCACAGUAAGAGCUUGCUCUUACGGGUGGCGAGUGGCGGACGGGUGAGGAAUACAUCGGAAUCUACUUUUUCGUGGGGGAUAACGUAGGGAAACUUACGCUAAUACCGCAUACGACCUACGGGUGAAAUCAGGGGAUCUUCGGACCUUUCGCGAUUGAAUGAGCCGAUGUCGGAUUAGCUAGUUGGCGGGGUAAAGGCCCACCAAGGCGACGAUCCGUAGCUGGUCUGAGAGGAUGUACCGCCAAACUGGAAAUGAGACACGGUCCAGAAUCCUACGGGAGGCAGCAGUGGGGAAUAUUGGACAAUGGGCGCAAGCCUGAUCCAGCCAUACCGCGUGGGUGAAGAAGGCCUUCGGGUUGUAAAGCCCUUUUGUUGGGAAAGAAAAGCAGCAGGUUAAUACCCCGCUGUUCUGACGGUACCCAAAGAAUAAGCACCGGCUAACUUCGUG